rnacentral:lncRNA from 1 species
AUGCCCGUCUUCCUCUACUUUUUUUUUAUAUAUGGGACGCUUGCCACAGCAUGGCUUGAUAAGUGGUGCAUAGCUCCAUGCCCAGGAUGCAAAUCAGCAAACCCCAGGUCGCUGAAGCUGAGUGGGCAAACCCAACUGCUACGCCACCAGGACAGCCCCCCAAUCUACUAUUUUGUUCAUUCAGAUAGAUGUUUUUGUGAAAUUUCAGUUCAAUUAUUUUUCCCAUUUUUUUUCAUUGUGUUCUUUAAGUUUUCUGUACUCAUAUUUUGGAUAAGUGCUAACAUCUUCCCAGGAAAAGAUCUAAUUUUUUUCAGUAUUGCAGAAGAGGAAGGAGGAGGAGGAAGAAAGGAGAAAAGGAAGGAAGGGAGGAAGGAAGGAAGAAGGAGAGGAAAGAAGAGAAAAUCACUGCCAAUAACUCUAUUCUGGGCUUUGCGAAUCAGCUGUGAUAAAAAGGAGAGAGAGAGGGAGAAGGAGAGAGAGAGAAAGCAGGAGAGAGUGGUUGCAUAGAAAACCCGCAUGAAAGGAAGUGAGUCUUGGAAGACGUCCCAUGCAGCCAGCCACAUCAGGUCUGAACGCUGGAUCCUUCCUACACUGCGGGCCUUACAGUGUUCUGCAGGCUGUUCCUGUUCUCAACUAGCUAUUCUCAACCAAUGCCAGGAAUUGAAGAGGGAUAGUGGUUAUCUGCAUUUCUUUUUAUUCUGUUCUUAUUGCCUUUGUUCGUAAAGAUGAGAAAUAUCACAAAGUUAAACAUUUUAACUGUAUAUUUUCUGUUUCUCCAGUUUAAAAUAAAAU